AGUUGUCAGUGUCAUUUGACUGUGUCAUUGAACAAUCCACUGAUUGACAAGACUGUUUGGGUUAAUCCGUCUGGCUAGGCAGAUGCCCCCUUUCAUCUCUCAUAACAUCACAUGCAUUCCCCCUAAAGCUACAUAUUUGGACAAAGAAGGUGACCUAACUUGAUGAAUGAGAUUCUGAAAGUAAGCUUGACUACUGGGAUUGAAGAAGAAGAGAUGAUACAAGACACACAGAAACAGAACAGCAAGCCAACAUCCUUCAGCUGUUGAUGU
rnacentral:sRNA from 1 species